GGCGACGUAGCCAAGUGGCCAGGCAAGGGUCUGCAAAACCUUUUACGCCGGUUCGAAUCCGGCCGUCGCCU
rnacentral:tRNA from 1 species